ACGGAGGGUGCAAGCGUUAAUCGGAAUCACUGGGCGUAAAGCGCUCGUAGGCUGUUUGGUAAGUCAGACGUGAAAGCCCUCGGCUUAACCGGGGAACUGCGUUUGAUACUGCCAGACUUGAGUGUCGGAGAGGGUGGCGGAAUUCCGGGUGUAGGAGUGAAAUCCGUAGAUAUCCGGAGGAACACCAGUGGCGUAGGCGGCCACCUGGACGAUAACUGUCGCUUAGGAGCGAAAGCGUGGGGAGCAAACAG
rnacentral:rRNA from 1 species